rnacentral:rRNA from 1 species
AGUUCCAGUGGAGCCGUCCUUGAAAUACCACCCUGGUAAUGUUGAGGUUCUAACUCUGUCCCGUGAUCCGGGACGAGGACCGUGUCUGGUGGGUAGUUUGACUGGGGCGGUCUCCUCCUAAAGAGUAACGGAGGAGUACGAAGGUGCGCUCAGCGUGGUCGGAAAUCACGCGUAGAGUAUAAAGGCAAAAGCGCGCUUAACUGCGAGACCCACAAGUCGAGCAGGUACGAAAGUAGGUCUUAGUGAUCCGGUGGUUCUGUAUGGAAGGGCCAUCGCUCAACGGAUAAAAGGUACUCUGGGGAUAACAGGCUGAUACCGCCCAAGAGUUCAUAUCGACGGCGGUGUUUGGCACCUCGAUGUCGGCUCAUCUCAUCCUGGGGCUGAAGCAGGUCCCAAGGGUAUGGCUGUUCGCCAUUUAAAGAGGUACGCGAGCUGGGUUUAGAACGUCGUGAGACAGUUCGGUCCCUAUCUACCGUGGGCGCUGGAAAUUUGAGAGGAUCUGCUCCUAGUACGAGAGGACCAGAGUGGACGAACCUCUGGUGUACCGGUUGUGACGCCAGUCGCAUCGCCGGGUAGCUAUGUUCGGAAGGGAUAACCGCUGAAAGCAUCUAAGCGGGAAGCCUACCUCAAGAUAAGAUUUCCCUAGGACUUUAUGUCCUCUAAAGAGCCGUUCGAGACUAGGACGUUGAUAGGUUGGAUGUGGAAGCAUAGUGAUAUGUGAAGCUGACCAAUACUAAUUGCUCGUGAGGCUUGACUAUACAACACCCAAGCAGUUG